GUCUGUCUAGCUCAGUGGGUAGAGUACAACGCUCUUAACCUUGUGGUUUGUGGGUUCGAAUCUCAUAGUGGAUG
rnacentral:tRNA from 1 species